GAAUUAUAAAUAUGUCUGGAGAGGUGACGUCCUAACAAAUGAGAUGAGAGCAGAGCUCCUGUGACUCCUGUCGUCAUCACAAUCCCUGGGUGGGUGCAGAACCUUGGAUACAAUUCCACAGCUUUUGCUGAGGGUGACUUUGUGGCUUUUUAAAAAGUUUAAAUAAAGAAUUAAAGGCACUAGAUUUGAUUUCUCUUCAUCACAUUUGCACUGGAAUUGUCCACAGAGCCAGUUCUGCAAGCCACAUGCUGGCCUGAGUCUUGGGAGGCCAAAGCUGUAUUUCCUUCCCCCCAAACAGACUUCCUAUAGGAGACAGGAAUGUCCUACAGCACCUCUGUCCAGGAUCAUCUCCUCUAGAUAACUCUGCAGGCCAGACGUACAUUAAGCACUGAUUCCAGCAUCCAAGGGCCCAGUCGCUUCCCAGGCACGGGAUGGAGGGUAAAAAUGUAAAGAAUUCCAGAUAAACACAUUUGGAAAGCCACUUAAAGCUACUGGACAGAUGAAGGCGAGGAAGGCAGGGGAAUAUUUUUGCAGUGAACAGACAAAGAGGGACAUUGCUCAUCUGUCAAAGCGUGUGAGCUGCUCUGCUUUUCCAGACGUUGAGUUUUGGGAACUUUCAAACACCAAUGAGUAAGGAAAGGAGCCUUGAAAAGAGCAGGGAGGCCACAGGGGAGGUGGAGGACGUGGAUCAGCUCUACAGGAAGGCUUGCCUGGCAGCUGGCACUGCUUUAAUCCCAUUGGUCUGACAGAUUUUGGGGGAUACUCAUCACGAGUGGGAAUAAGACUCCCACUGCACAGAGGAACAAGCACUUUCUGUACCACACAGCCAAGA